UACGAAGGGGCUAGCGUUGCUCGGAAUCACUGGGCGUAAAGGGUGCGUAGGCGGGUCUUUUAAGUCAGAGGUGAAAGCCUGGAGCUCAACUCCAGAACUGCCUUUGAUACUGAGGAUCUCGAGUUCGGGAGAGGUGAGUGGAACUGCGAGUGUAGAGGUGAAAUUCGUAGAUAUUCGCAAGAACACCAGUGGCGAAGGCGCUCGACUG
rnacentral:rRNA from 1 species